AACGUAGGUGACGAGCGUUAUCCGGAUUUACUGGGCGUAAAGCGUGUGCAGGCGGUGGCUCAAGUGGUGUGUGAAAGCGCCCGGCUUAACCGGGCGAGGUCAGGCCAGACUGAGCCACUGGAGGCUGGGAGAGGGACAUGGAAUUCCGGGUGUAGUGGUGAAAUGCGUAGAGAUCCGGAGGAACUCCAGAGGCGAAGGCGGUGUCCUGGCCCAGACCUGACGCUCAGACACGAAAGCAUGGGGAGCGAACGGG
rnacentral:rRNA from 1 species